rnacentral:tRNA from 1 species
GGGGCAGUAGCUCAGUGGUAGAGCAGGUAAUUUUGAAAUUAUCCUAAGAGGUCAAUCAGAAUUUACUUCUCACGCUUUUAACGUCCAGGUCGCGGGUUCGAAUCCCGCCUGCUCCA